AUGCCUUAAACUCAUGAGUAAGGAAAAUAAUGAUCCGGGGUGAUGCCCGGAUCCUCACUGCUAAUGUGAAGCAAAUUUUUGAGCCAGUGAAUAAACUGA